rnacentral:rRNA from 1 species
UGGGGAAUUUUGGACAAUGGGCGCAAGCCUGAUCCAGCCAUGCCGCGUGCGGGAAGAAGGCCUUCGGGUUGUAAACCGCUUUUGUCAGGGAAGAAAUCUUCUGAGUUAAUACCUCGGGAGGAUGACGGUACCUGAAGAAUAAGCACCGGCUAACUACGUGCCAGCAGCCGCGGUAAUACGUAGGGUGCAAGCGUUAAUCGGAAUUACUGGGCGUAAAGCGUGCGCAGGCGGUUUUGUAAGACAGAGGUGAAAUCCCGGCGUCAACCUGGGAACUGCCUUUGUGACUGCAAGGCUUGAGUGCGGCAGAGGGGGAUGGAAUUCCGCGUGUAGCAGUGAAAUGCGUAGAUAUGCGGAGGAACACCGAUGGCGAAGGCAAUCCCUGGCUGCACUGACGCUCAUGCACGAAAAGCGUGGGGAGCAAAACAGGAUUAGAUACCCUGGUAGUCCACGCCCUAAACGAUGUCAACUGGUUGUUGGGAAGGUUCCUUCUCAGUAACGUAACUAAACGCGUGAAAGUUGACCGCCUGGGGAGUACGGCCGCAAAGGUUGAAAACUCAAAAGGAAUUGACGGGGUCAU